rnacentral:rRNA from 1 species
GACGAACCGUGCGAACGUUAUUCGGAAUCACUGGGCUUAAAGCGCGUGUAGGCGGGCGGGUACGUCGGCGACUGAAAGCCCCCCGGCUCAACCGGGGAAGGGGUGCCGAAACGGCCGGCCUGGAGGGGCGUAGGGGGACCUGGAACUUCCGGUGGAGCGGUGAAAUGCGUUGAGAUCGGAAGGAACGCCCGUGGCGAAAGCGAGGUCCUGGACGCCAUCUGACGCUGAGACGCGAAAGCCAGGGGAGCGAACGGG